GACGAACGCUAGCGGCGUGCUUAACACAUGCAAGUCGAACGGAAAGGCCCUGCUUUUGUGGGGUGCUCGAGUGGCGAACGGGUGAGUAACACGUGAGUAACCUGCCCUUGACUUUGGGAUAACUUCAGGAAACUGGGGCUAAUACCGGAUAGGAGCUCCUGCUGCAUGGUGGGGGUUGGAAAGUUUCGGCGGUUGGGGAUGGACUCGCGGCUUAUCAGCUUGUCGGUGGGGUAGUGGCUUACCAAGGCUUUGACGGGUAGCCGGCCUGAGAGGGUGACCGGCCACAUUGGGACUGAGAUACGGCCCAGACUCCUACGGGAGGCAGCAGUGGGGAAUAUUGCACAAUGGGCGGAAGCCUGAUGCAGCAACGCCGCGUGCGGGAUGACGGCCUUCGGGUUGUAAACCGCUUUCGCCUGUGACGAAGCGUGAGUGACGGUAAUGGGUAAAGAAGCACCGGCUAACUACGUG
rnacentral:rRNA from 1 species